AUCUAACCAAUGGAAGACCCAUAGAUGUAAGAAGAAGAUGUGAAUAUAAGGACAUUCUCCAGCUAUCCUGUUUCGAACACCGAGGCUAAACCAAAGGAAAACAAGUCUGCAAUAAAUAUUCCAACCACAUUCCUACAUCGAGAUGUUAGGCACAUCAUUGUGAUCCUACCAGUUGAGGAACAGAAGUCUAACCAAAAUAAAGAUGAAGCCAAAGUAUGACCUCCUUGGGUUCAAGAACCAGGAGCUCAAGUGGGAGGGGUCAUGUUCAACAUCUUAGCUGUUGGGAAUGUCUCCACCCGGGCCGAACAUACAGUCUCCACCUGGGCCGGAUAUGCCCAUGUCAGCAUCAAACAGACACCUAACUCAACUCAUUCAUCACUGAAAAACUUACACCUGCAUCUUCGUUUGGUCUGAUUCCACUCCAGCUCCAGAAACCAAGCCAAAGACACAACUGAUUAAAACCAGUCUUCUGCAGAACACAUGCAUGCAGCAGACCAGCAGGCAAGUGUGCAGAAUUCCCCUCCAAAAUAAAAGCCAUCAGUCAUCUUGGUGUCUCUGCUGCGGAUGUUGACGCUGACAACGCCGUGAUGAAUGACGUCCAUCUUCUCACCGUUGGUUCCUUCUCUGGUGAUGAAGUCGCCCGGCUGGAAGACCUUAAAGCACAGUUUGGUCAGCAUGGAGGGGACAAAGCUGGGAUUGGCGUUGGCCAAAAGUGGCGUGGAGGCCGCACUGUUUGUGACAGUUGAAGAAGAUUAUUUCCUGAGGCGAAACAGGAAAGGGUUGUAGACAUUUUUUACUGAGGCAAAGGCUUGGGAUGAACAUUUCAUUGUAAAAGCAGCUUAGUGCUCUGUUGAUAAGGUUCUCUGCCCUCAUGAAGCAAUAACUAAUCAGUUUACAUGACUCUUAACGUUAUCAUGCAAAGAAAGACGGCUGGAUUAUAUCAUUAAUUGUAUGUGAAUCAUUCAAACAAGGAUGUUCUCAUAUAUUUGUUUCAACAAAAAGCAACCAAAAAACUCAAACACAUUUAAAUUAAAGUUUACAUUUUAUUUGCAGUCUGUAAA